AUUGAACGCUGGCGGCAGGCCUAACACAUGCAAAUCGAGCGGAUGAAGGGAGCUUGCUCCUGGAUUCAGCGGCGGACGGGUGAGUAAUGCCUAGGAAUCUGCCUGGUAGUGGGGGAUAACGUCCGGAAACGGGCGCUAAUACCGCAUACGUCCUGAGGGAGAAAGUGGGGGAUCUUCGGACCUCACGCUAUCAGAUGAGCCUAGGUCGGAUUAGCUAGUUGGUGGGGUAAAGGCCUACCAAGGCGACGAUCCGUAACUGGUCUGAGAGGAUGAUCAGUCACACUGGAACUGAGACACGGUCCGGACUCCUACGGGAGGCAGCAGUGGGGAAUAUUGGACAAUGGGCGAAAGCCUGAUCCAGCCAUGCCGUGUGUGUGAAGAAGGUCUUCGGAUUGUAAAGCACUUUAAGUUGGGAGGAAGGGCAGUAAGUUAAUACCUUGCUGUUUUGACGUUACCAACAGAAUAAGCACCGGCUAACUUCGUG
rnacentral:rRNA from 1 species